GACGAACGCUGGCGGCGUGCCUAAUACAUGCAAGUCGAACGCAGUGGGGACGGGUGAGUAACACGUGGGUAACCUCCCAUCAGAGGGGAUAACACUGGGAAACAGGUGCUAAACCGAUACGGAGGGAUGGACCCGCGGUGCAUUGGCUAGUUGGUGAGGUAACGGCUCACAAAGGCCACGCUGCAUCGCCGACCUGAGAGGGGGAUCGGCCACGCAGGGACUGUGACACGGCACAGACUCCUAGGAGAGGCAGCAGUAGGAAAUCUUCGGCAAUGGACUAAAGUCUGACCGGGCAUCGCCGCGUGAGUGAAGAAGGUCGUCGGAUCGGAAAACUCUGUUAUUAGAGAGGCGGUAUCUAACCAGAAAGCCACGGCUAACUACGUGCCAGCAGCCGCGGUAAUUC
rnacentral:rRNA from 1 species